rnacentral:rRNA from 1 species
UACUACGGCCACACCACCCUGAAUGUGUCUGAUCUCAUCUGAUCUUUGAAGCUAAGCAGGGUCAGGCCUGGUUAGUACUUGGAUGGGAGACCACCUAGGAAUGAAUACCAGGUGCUGCAGGCA